rnacentral:rRNA from 1 species
AUUGAACGCUGGCGGCAUGCCUAACACAUGCAAGUCGAACGGCAGCACAGCAGAGCUUGCUCUGUGGGUGGCGAGUGGCGGACGGGUGAGUAAUGCAUCGGGACCUACCCAGACGUGGGGGAUAACGUAGGGAAACUUACGCUAAUACCGCAUACGUCCUACGGGAGAAAGCGGGGGACCUUCGGGCCUCGCGCGGUUGGAUGGACCGAUGUUCGAUUAGCUAGUUGGUAGGGUAAUGGCCUACCAAGGCGACGAUCGAUAGCUGGUCUGAGAGGAUGAUCAGCCACACUGGGACUGAGACACGGCCCAGACUCCUACGGGAGGCAGCAGUGGGGAAUAUUGGACAAUGGGCGCAAGCCUGAUCCAGCAAUGCCGCGUGUGUGAAGAAGGCCUUCGGGUUGUAAAGCACUUUUAUCAGGAGCGAAAUACUAUCGGUUAAUAACCGGUGGGGCUGACGGUACCUGAGGAAUAAGCACCGGCUAACUUCGUGCCAGCAGCCGCGGUAAUACGAAGGGUGCAAGCGUUAAUCGGAAUUACUGGGCGUAAAGGGUGCGUAGGCGGUUAGUUAAGUCUGUUGUGAAAUCCCCGGGCUCAACCUGGGAAUGGCAAUGGAUACUGGCUAGCUAGAGUGUGUCAGAGGAUGGUGGAAUUCCCGGUGUAGCGGUGAAAUGCGUAGAGAUCGGGAGGAACAUCAGUGGCGAAGGCGGCCAUCUGGGACAACACUGACGCUGAAGCACGAAAGCGUGGGGAGCAAACAGG